GGAGACAUAGCUCAGUGGUAGAGCAUCUGUCUUGCAAGCAGAAGGUCCCAAGCUCAAUCCCCGAUGGCCUCCA